GACGAACGCUGGCGGCGUGCCUAAUACAUGCAAGUCGAACGAGAGCGACCGGUGCUUGCACUGGUCAAUCUAGUGGCGAACGGGUGAGUAACACGUGGGUAACCUGCCCAUCAGAGGGGGAUAACAUCCGGAAACGGAUGCUAAAACCGCAUAGGUCUUCGAACCGCAUGGUUUGAAGAGGAAAAGAGGCGCAAGCUUCUGCUGAUGGAUGGACCCGCGGUGCAUUAGCUAGUUGGUGAGGUAACGGCUCACCAAGGCCGUGAUGCAUAGCCGACCUGAGAGGGUGAUCGGCCACAUUGGGACUGAGACACGGCACAAACUCCUACGGGAGGCAGCAGUAGGGAAUCUUCCGCAAAGGACGCAAGUCUGACGGAGCAACGCCGCGUGAGUGAAGAAGGUUUUCGGAUCGUAAAACUCUGUUGUUAGAGAAGAACAAGUGCUAGAGUAACUGUUAGCGCCUUGACGGUAUCUAACCAGAAAGCCACGGCUAACUACGUG
rnacentral:rRNA from 1 species